rnacentral:rRNA from 1 species
AUGAACGCUAGCUACAGGCUUAACACAUGCAAGUCGAGGGGCAUCAGGAAGAAAGCUUGCUUUCUUUGCUGGCGACCGGCGCACGGGUGAGUAACACGUAUCCAACCUGCCCUUUACUCGGGGAUAGCCUUUCGAAAGAAAGAUUAAUACCCGAUAGUAUAAUGAUUCCGCAUGGUUUCAUUAUUAAAGGAUUCCGGUAAAGGAUGGGGAUGCGUUCCAUUAGGUUGUUGGUGAGGUAACGGCCCACCAAGCCUUCGAUGGAUAGGGGUUCUGAGAGGAAGGUCCCCCACAUUGGAACUGAGACACGGUCCAAACUCCUACGGGAGGCAGCAGUGAGGAAUAUUGGUCAAUGGGCGCUAGCCUGAACCAGCCAAGUAGCGUGAAGGAUGAAGGCUCUAUGGGUCGUAAACUUCUUUUAUAUAAGAAUAAAGUGCAGUAUGUAUACUGUUUUGUAUGUAUUAUAUGAAUAAGGAUCGGCUAACUCCGUGCCAGCAGCCGCGGUAAUACGGAGGAUCCGAGCGUUAUCCGGAUUUAUUGGGUUUAAAGGGAGCGUAGGUGGACUGGUAAGUCAGUUGUGAAAGUUUGCGGCUCAACCGUAAAAUUGCAGUUGAUACUGGAUGUCUUGAGUGCAGUUGAGGCAGGCGGAAUUCGUGGUGUAGCGGUGAAAUGCUUAGAUAUCACGAAGAACUCCGAUUGCGAAGGCAGCUCACUGGACUGCAACUGACACUGAUGCUCGAAAGUGUGGGUAUCAAACAGGAUUAGAUACCCUGGUAGUCCACACAGUAAACGAUGAAUACUCGCUGUUUGCGAUAUACAGUAAGCGGCCAAGCGAAAGCAUUAAGUAUUCCACCUGGGGAGUACGCCGGCAACGGUGAAACUCAAAGGAAUUGACGGGGGCCCGCACAAGCGGAGGAACAUGUGGUUUAAUUCGAUGAUACGCGAGGAACCUUACCCGGGCUUAAAUUGCAGUGGAAUGAUGUGGAAACAUGUCAGUGAGCAAUCACCGCUGUGAAGGUGCUGCAUGGUUGUCGUCAGCUCGUGCCGUGAGGUGUCGGCUUAAGUGCCAUAACGAGCGCAACCCUUAUCUUUAGUUACUAACAGGUUAUGCUGAGGACUCUGGAGAGACUGCCGUCGUAAGAUGUGAGGAAGGUGGGGAUGACGUCAAAUCAGCACGGCCCUUACGUCCGGGGCUACACACGUGUUACAAUGGGGGGUACAGAAGGCAGCUAGCGGGUGACCGUAUGCUAAUCCCAAAAGCCUCUCUCAGUUCGGAUCGAAGUCUGCAACCCGACUUCGUGAAGCUGGAUUCGCUAGUAAUCGCGCAUCAGCCACGGCGCGGUGAAUACGUUCCCGGGCCUUGUACACACCGCCCGUCAAGCCAUGGGAGCCGGGGGUACCUGAAGUACGUAACCGCAAGGAUCGUCCUAGGGUAAAACUGGUGACUGGGGCU